rnacentral:rRNA from 1 species
GUCCACGCCUAACGAUGGCAACUAGGUGUUGGGAAGCGAUUCCUUGGUACCGUAGCUAACGCGUGAAGUUGCCCGCCUGGGAGUACGGUCGCAAGAUUAAACUCAAAGGAAUUGACGGGACCCGCACAAGCGGUGGAUGAUGUGGAUUAAUUCGAUGCAACGCGAACAACCUUACCUACCCUUGACAUGUCCGGAACCCUGCCGAGAGGUGGGUGCCCGAAAGGGAAUCGGAACACAGGUGCUGCAUGGCUGUCGU